UACGAAGGGGGCUAGCGUUGCUCGGAAUCACUGGGCGUAAAGGGAGCGUAGGCGGAUAGUUUAGUCAGAGGUGAAAGCCCAGGGCUCAACCUUGGAAUUGCCUUUGAUACUGGCUAUCUUGAGUACGGAAGAGGUAUGUGGAACUCCGAGUGUAGAGGUGAAAUUCGUAGAUAUUCGGAAGAACACCAGUGGCGAAGGCGGCUCACUGGCCCGAUACUGACGCUGAGGUGCGAAAGCGUGGGGAGCAAACAGG
rnacentral:rRNA from 1 species